rnacentral:rRNA from 1 species
AGAGUUUGAUCCUGGCUCAGGAUGAACGCUAGCUACAGGCUUAACACAUGCAAGUCGAGGGGUUCCAAAGGAGCUUGCUUCUUUGGGACGACCGGCGCACGGGUGAGUAACGCGUAUCCAACCUGCCCUUCAUAUUGGUAUAGCCUCCCGAAAGGGAGAUUAAUCCCGAAUAACAUAUUUUGGUUUCCUGAUCAGAAUAUGAAAGCUCCGGCGAUGAAGGAUGGGGAUGCGUUCCAUUAGGUAGUAGGCGGGGUAACGGCCCACCUAGCCGACGAUGGAUAGGGGUUCUGAGAGGAAGGUCCCCCACACUGGAACUGAGACACGGUCCAGACUCCUACGGGAGGCAGCAGUGAGGAAUAUUGGUCAAUGGGCGCAAGCCUGAACCAGCCAAGUAGCGUGAAGGAUGACUGCCCUAUGGGUUGUAAACUUCUUUUAUACGGGAACAAAUGUGGGUACGUGUACCUAUUUGCGUGUACCGUAUGAAUAAGCAUCGGCUAACUCCGUGCCAGCAGCCGCGGUAAUACGGAGGAUGCGAGCGUUAUCCGGAUUUAUUGGGUGUAAAGGGUGCGUAGACGGGAAAUUAAGUUAGUUGUGAAAUCCCUCGGCUCAACUGAGGAACUGCAACUAAAACUGAUUUUCUUGAGUGCAGGAGAGGAAAGUGGAAUUCCUAGUGUAGCGGUGAAAUGCGUAGAUAUUAGGAGGAACACCAGUGGCGAAGGCGACUUUCUGGACUGUAACUGACGUUGAGGCACGAAAGUGUGGGGAGCAAACAGGAUUAGAUACCCUGGUAGUCCACACUGUAAACGAUGGAUACUAGGUGUAGGAGAUAUUAAGUCUUCUGUGCCGUCGCUAACGCAGUAAGUAUCCCACCUGGGGAGUACGACCGCAAGGUUGAAACUCAAAGGAAUUGACGGGGGCCCGCACAAGCAGUGGAGUAUGUGGUUUAAUUCGAAGCAACGCGAAGAACCUUACCAGGGCUUGACAUAUACAGGAAUAACCAAGAGAUUGGUUAGCUCUUCGGAGUCUGUAUACAGGUGGUGCAUGGUUGUCGUCAGCUCGUGUCGUGAGAUGUUGGGUUAAGUCCCGCAACGAGCGCAACCCCUGUUUCUAGUUGCCAGCACGUAAAGGUGGGAACUCUAGAGAGACUGCCGUUGAUAAAACGGAGGAAGGUGGGGACGACGUCAAAUCAUCAUGCCCUUUAUGUCCUGGGCUACACACGUACUACAAUGGCUACAACAAAGGGAAGCGAAAGAGUGAUCUGAAGCGAAACUCAAAAAAGUAGUCUCAGUUCGGAUUGUAGGCUGAAAUUCGCCUACAUGAAGCCGGAAUUGCUAGUAAUGGCAGGUCAGCAUACUGCCGUGAAUACGUUCCCGGGCCUUGUACACACCGCCCGU